AUCCAGCUAUAGAGUUCCAGAUAAAACGAAACGCGCGUCCUGGAU
rnacentral:hammerhead_ribozyme from 1 species